UACUGUGGUCCACACGUUGACUGUCUCGCGGCCACGUUCCUUAAAAGGCGGUAAAUCACGCGUUUCGCCUUCCUUUUUACCGGCCACCGAGGCCGCUGAUUGUGCCAUACAUAA